rnacentral:rRNA from 1 species
GCAGUCGAGGGGCAGCGGGGAGGUAGCAAUACCUUUGCCGGCGACCGGCGCACGGGUGAGUAACACGUAUGCAAUCCACCUGUAACAGGGGGAUAACCCGGAGAAAUCCGGACUAAUACCCCAUGAUAUGGGCUCUCCGCAUGGAGGGUCCAUUAAAGAGAGCAAUCUUGGUUACAGACGAGCAUGCGCUCCAUUAGCCAGUUGGCGGGGUAACGGCCCACCAAGGCGACGAUGGAUAGGGGUUCUGAGAGGAAGGUCCCCCACAUUGGAACUGAGACACGGUCCAAACUCCUACGGGAGGCAGCAGUGAGGAAUAUUGGUCAAUGGUCGGCAGACUGAACCAGCCAAGUCGCGUGAGGGAAGACGGCCCUACGGGUUGUAAACCUCUUUUGUCGGAGAGUAAAGUGCGCUACGCGUAGCGCAUUGCAAGUAUCCGAAGAAAAAGCAUCGGCUAACUCCGUGCCAGCAGCCGCGGUAAUACGGAGGAUGCGAGCGUUAUCCGGAUUUAUUGGGUUUAAAGGGUGCGUAGGCGGCACGCCAAGUCAGCGGUGAAAUUUCCGGGCUCAACCCGGAAUGUGCCGUUGAAACUGGCG